rnacentral:rRNA from 1 species
CCCUUAGAUGUUCUGGGCCGCACGCGUGCUACACUGAGUGGAUCAGCGGGUCAGGUUGCGCGAAAGCGUUUCCUAAUCUUUAAAUCCGAUCGUGAUGGGGAUUGACGGUUGCAAUUUUCUGUCAUGAACGAGGAAUACCUUGUAAGCGCGGGUCAUCAUCCCGCGCUGAAUACGUCCCUGCCCUUUGUACACACCGCCCGUCGCUCCUACCGAUUGAGUGGUCCGGUGAGGCUUUGGGAUCUGAGCGGAAAGAGCGUUUCGCUGUUUCUGCUCGGAAAACUCAGUCGAACCUUAUCAUUUAGAGGAAGGAGAAGUCGUAACA